ensembl:snoRNA
AACAGUUGAGAUCAUAAACAUGAUGAUUGGACUUUCACACUAAUAUGUGAGAUGUGUCUCCUUCAAACCUUGUUAUAACAUUGGCACAUUACUCAUUGGAUG